rnacentral:rRNA from 1 species
UUGGAGGGCAAGUCUGGUGCCAGCAGCCGCGGUAAUUCCAGCUCCAAUAGCGUAUAUUAAAGUUGUUGCAGUUAAAAAGCUCGUAGUUGAAUUUCGGGGUUAGUAGGUUGGUCAUGCCUCCGGUAUGCACUGGCUUUACUGAUUCCUCCUUCUUGAUGAACUGUAAUGUCAUUAAUUUGGUGUUGCAGGGAAUCAGGACUGUUACUUUGAAAAAAUUAGAGUGUUUAAAGCAGGCAUACGCUUGAAUACAUUAGCAUGGAAUAAUGAAAUAGGACGUUUGAUCCUAUUUUGUUGGUUUCUAGGAUUGACGUAAUGAUUAAUAGGGAUAGUUGGGGGCAUUAGUAUUCAAUUGUCAGAGGUGAAAUUCUUGGAUUUAUUGAAGACUAACUACUGCGAAAGCAUUUGCCAAGGAUGUUUUCAUUAAUCAAGAACGAAAGUUAGGGGAUCGAAGACGAUCAGAUACCGUCGUAGUCUUAACCAUAAACUAUGCCGACUAGGGAUCGGAUGAUGUUAUUUUUAAUGACUCAUUCGGCGCCUUACGGGAAAC